rnacentral:rRNA from 1 species
AUUGAACGCUGGCGGCAGGCCUAACACAUGCAAGUCGAACGAGUGGCGGACGGGUGAGUAAUGUCUGGGAAACUGCCUGAUGGAGGGGGAUAACUACUGGAAACGGUAGCUAAUACCGCAUACCAUCAGAUGUGCCAAGAUGGGAUGAGCUCGUUGGUUGGGUAACGGCUAACCAAGGCGACGAUCCCUCGCUGGUGUGAGAGGAUGACCAGCCACACUGGAACUGAGAAACGGUCCAGACUCCUACGGGAGGCAGCAGUGGCGAAUAGUUCACAAUGGGCGCAAGCCUGAUGCAGCCAUGCCGCGUGUAUGAAGAAGGCCUUCGGGUUGUAAAGUACGUUCAGCGGGGAGGCGUUACCCGCAGAAGAAGCACCGGCUAACUCCGUGCCAGCCGCCGCGGUAAUAC